GACGAACGCUGGCGGCGUGCCUAACACAUGCAAGUCGAGCGGAGGCGGAGGAGAGCCCAGCGAUGGGAAGGAGACUGCUUAGCGGCGAACGGGUGAGUAACACGUGGGCAACCUGCCUGUAAGACUGGGAUAACUUCGGGAAACCGGAGCUAAUACCGGAUAAUCCUUUCCCUCUCAUGAGGAAAGCUUAAAGAAGGGCUCUGGGUGUCACUUACAGGUGGGCCCGGCGGCGCAUUAGCCAGUUGGUGAGGUAACGGCUCACCAAGGCGACGAUGCGUAGCCGACCUGAGAGGGUGAUCGGCCACACUGGGACUGAGACACGGCCCAGACUCCUACGGGAGGCAGCAGUAGGGAAUCUUCCGCAAUGGACGAAAGUCUGACGGAGCAACGCCGCGUGAACGAUGAAGGCCUUCGGGUCGUAAAGUUCUGUUGUCAGGGAAGAACAAGUACCGGAGUAACUGCCGGUACCUUGACGGUACCUGACCAGAAAGCCACGGCUAACUACGUGCCAGCCGCCGCGGUAAAAC
rnacentral:rRNA from 1 species